rnacentral:rRNA from 1 species
AAACCAACAGGGAUUGCCUCAGUAACGGCGAGUGAAGCGGCAAAAGCUCAAAUUUGAAAUCUAGCACCUUCGGUGUUCGAGUUGUAAUUUGAAGAUGGUAACCUUGGGUUUGGCUCUUGUCUAUGUUCCUUGGAACAGGACGUCAUAGAGGGUGAGAAUCCCGUCUGAUGAGAUGCCCAUUCCUAUGUAAGGUGCUAUCGAAGAGUCGAGUUGUUUGGGAAUGCAGCUCUAAGUGGGUGGUAAAUUCCAUCUAAAGCUAAAUAUUGGCGAGAGACCGAUAGCGAACAAGUACAGUGAUGGAAAGAUGAAAAGAACUUUGAAAAGAGAGUGAAAAAGUACGUGAAAUUGUUGAAAGGGAAGGGCAUUAGAUCAGACUUGGUGUUUUACGAUUAUCUUCUCUUCUUGAGUUGUGCACUCGUAUUUCACUGGGCCAGCAUCGAUUCGGAUGGCAAGAUAAUAGCAGUUGAAUGUGGCUUCACUUCGGUGGAGUGUUAUAGCUUCUGUUGAUAUUGCCUGUCUGGAUCGAGGGCUGCGUCUUUUGACUAGGAUGCUGGCGUAAUGAUCUAAUGCCGCCCGUCUUGAACGAC